rnacentral:rRNA from 1 species
UACGGAGGGGUCAAGCGUUGCUCGGUAUCACUGGGCUUAAAGGGCGCGUAGGCUGUGCGGUACGGUUGGGGUGAAAUCCCUCGGCUCAACCGAGGAACUGCCCGGGCGACGGCCGCGCUGGACUGCAUCAGGGGACGAUGGAACUCCCGGUGGAGCGGUGAAAUGCGUAGAUAUCGGGAGGAACGCCAGUGGCGAAAGCGAUCGUCUGGGGUGCAUGUGACGCUGAGGCGCGAAAGCUAGGGGAGCAAACGGG